rnacentral:rRNA from 1 species
AGUGAACGCUGGCGGUAGGCCUAACACAUGCAAGUCGAACGGCAGCACAGUAAGAGCUUGCUCUUACGGGUGGCGAGUGGCGGACGAGUGAGGAAUACAUCGGAAUCUACUUUUUCGUGGGGGAUAACGUAGGGAAACUUACGCUAAUACCGCAUACGACCUACGGGUGAAAGCAGGGGAUCUUCGGACCUUGCGCGAUUGAAUGAGCCGAUGUCGGAUUAGCUAGUUGGCGGGGUAAAGGCCCACCAAGGCGACGAUCCGUAGCUGGUCUGAGAGGAUGAUCAGCCACACUGGAGCUGAGACACGGUCCAGACUCCUACGGGAGGCAGCAGUGGGGAAUAUUGGACAAUGGGCGCAAGCCUGAUCCAGCCAUACCGCGUGGGUGAAGAAGGCCUUCGGGUUGUAAAGCCCUUUUGUUGGGAAAGAAAAGCAGCAGGUUAAUACCCCGCUGUUCUGACGGUACCCAAAGAAUAAGCACCGGCUAACUUCGUG